GACGAAUGCUGGCGGCGUGCUUAACACAUGCAAGUCGAACGAUGAGCCCGGAGCUUGCUCCGGUGGAUUAGUGGCGAACGGGUGAGUAACACGUGAGUAACCUGCCCUUGACUCUGGGAUAACUGCGGGAAACUGUAGCUAAUACCGGAUACGACCCUCGGCGGCAUCGCCAGGGGGUGGAAAGAAUUUCGGUCAAGGAUGGACUCGCGGCCUAUCAGCUAGUUGGUGAGGUAACGGCUCACCAAGGCGACGACGGGUAGCCGGCCUGAGAGGGUGACCCGCCACACUGGGACUGAGACACGGCCCAGACUCUUACGGGAGGCAGCAGUGGGGAAUAUUGCACAAUGGGCGCAAGCCUGAUGCAGCAACGCCGCGUGAGGGAUGACGGCCUUCGGGUUGUAAACCUCUUUUAGUAGGGAAGAAGCGAAAGUGACGGUACCUGCAGAAAAAGCACCGGCUAACUACGUGCCAGCCGCCGCGGUAA
rnacentral:rRNA from 1 species